rnacentral:rRNA from 1 species
GAUGAACGCUGGCGGCGUGCUUAACACAUGCAAGUCGAACGGUGAAAGCGGAGCUUGCUCUGCUGGAUCAGUGGCGAACGGGUGAGUAACACGUGAGCAAUCUGCCCCUGACUCUGGGAUAAGCGCUGGAAACGGCGUCUAAUACCGGAUACGAGCUGCGAAGGCAUCUUCAGCAGCUGGAAAGAACUUCGGUCAGGGAUGAGCUCGCGGCCUAUCAGCUAGUUGGGGAGGUAACGGCUGACCAAGGCGUCGACGGGUAGCCGGCCUGAGAGGGUGACCGGCCACACUGGGACUGAGACACGGACCAGACUCCUACGGGAGGCAGCAGUGGGGAAUAGUGCACAAUGGGCGAAAGCCUGAUGCAGCAACGCCGCGUGAGGGACGACGGCCUUCGGGUUGUAAACCUCUUUUAGCAGGGAAGAAGCGAAAGUGACGGUACCUGCAGAAAAAGCGCCGGUUAACUACGUGCCAGCCGCCGCGGUAA